GUUUGUUUUUAAUUAUUUAAGUAAAAUGUGGAAUUUAUUAUAUAUAAUUAAUAUAAUAUACAUUAUCGUACUGUUUGCAGUGACAACUAAAUAAAUGACUCAUUAUAUUCCAUUAAUGUGUAUAAAAUUGAUUAUUUUAAACAUCAUUUUAAUUUAAAUUUUAUAUUUGUGUGUUACAGUAUCAUCGUUGCUAACUAACGAUCCGCAGUUUCUGAGAGGAGGAGGAGGCCUAGGAGAGGCAUCGGGCAUCAGUGGAGCAACUUAGCGAAUCAUCGUAGCGACGCUGCUGCUGAUAACUCCACUGCUGCGCAUCGGUCGGUGAGAGAUAAAGAUUGUAUAUUAAUAAUUAAUUGCAUGUUGCAUGAAUUAGAUUUAUAU
rnacentral:lncRNA from 1 species